AUUGAAUUUUGACAUUCAAAAAAAUGGAAAGCCCAUGCUACUUUCUCUGUAACUGAUAUUCCAAAGAAAGGAACAUUUUAUUUGGAGUAAUAUUAAUCCCUCCUCUAGUGCCUGAAAGUGUCAAAUGUGAAAACAUUAUCAAAGGAAUUAAUGGUGGGAAAAUUAGUCUUACCUCUUCUCUGGAGUACAUAUAGUUUAAAGUGAUUUAUGAUCAAUUUAAAGAUAUUGGGAACUGUUGGAUAUAUAGACGCUUUCUGAAGAAAUCUAAAUGCCAGGACAUAGGAAUAUUAUAAAAUUGCCUUAUCUUGUUAUAUGAAAAUUGAAAGUAAGCAAGAAGUUGGUGUUUGUUUCUAGACAUUGAGAUUCUCCCAAUUAUCUCGAAUAUUUCUUCCUAAGGAAAAUAUCACAAUAAUGUUUAAUUACUUAUUAUAUCCCUUUCCUUCAGUUCAGUCGCUCAGUUGUGUCCGACUCUUUGCGACCCCAUGAACCGCAGCACGCCAGGCUUCCCUGUCCAUCACCAACUCCCGGAGUUCACUCAGACUCACGUCCAUCGAGUCAGUUUGGCUUUGAACUGUCCAAACCUAAAGAAAUAUCCAGACCAGAUCUGCCAACGAAUGACUGCAGGAAAGAAGAAAUUAAUAUAUUUCUUCAGGAGACUGAGAGGAACCAGGAAAUGUUUGAGUUUACCUCCCCCCUUAUAAUAGUAUAAAAGAAACCUGAAUUCUAACUCAGGCAAAAUGGUUCUUUGAGACACUAGUACACCAUCCUUUCAGUCUUCUGGCUUUCUGAAUAAACUCAUUAUUCCUGUCCCC
ensembl:lncRNA